GGACACGUCACCCCGGAGGAUCUACAACAUGAAGGAUUCCAGAUAAAAAUAAUAAAAAAGGAAGAAGAUGAAGAUGAGGACGAUGAUUUCUUCUGUGAAGGAUCUUUAAUCCCUGUGGAACAAGUCAUCUCUGAGGAACACCUCACCCCAGUGGACCAACAGUGUGGAGGUUUCCAGAUGAAGCCUGUGAAGAAGGAAGAACCUGAAGAUACAGAUGAACUCAUGAGGAAAAGAAGUAUUUGAUACACUGCCGAUUUUGCAAGUUUUCCCACCUACAAAGAAUGGAGAGGCUGUAAAUUUUAUCGUAGC